rnacentral:lncRNA from 1 species
CUUUCCUACGUUCUCUUCUUUAGAGAGAGGUGUCGCAGAUGACUUGUUAUCUUCUUAUUGUCAAGAAAAAGGCAACUAUUUAAUCAUUCUCAUUCCUGUUGACAGAGGAGCCUGGAGGGCUACCAUCCAUGGGAUUCCAGAGAGUUCGAUUCAACUGGGUUACUAACACUUUCAUUUUCACUUUGCUGUUGACAGAACAGUUUGAGAGAUGGUGAAGAUGUUACUCAUUUUGAAAGCAAUGAUUGGGAAGUAGGUGCUUUUGCUGGAAAAUGCUUUUCUGGAACCUGAAUAAAAGUGAGGUAAAUACUUUUAAGACUUCAUAAAGUUAAAAACUCAUUUUAAAGUUGGUAAAGUUUUUAUUGGGAAAUAUAUAUGCUAAAAUAUAUGCGUAUAGUUUAAAGAAUAAUAAUAUGUAUACCCUAUAGAUUAUGAGACUAACAGACAAAAUAUUAUCUGUAUUUUAAAAGCUCCAAGUGUGCCCCUCAAUGCAGACUUUUUUCUUAACCCUUGAAAUUUGUGUUAUUC